rnacentral:rRNA from 1 species
GUUAGGAAUAUUGGACAAUGGGCGAAAGCCUGAUCCAGCCAUGCCGCGUGAACGAUGAAGGCCUUCGGGUUGUAAAGUUCUUUAGCCGAUGAUUAUAAUGACUGUAGUCGGAAAAUAAGCCCCGGCUAACUUCGUGCCAGCAGCCGCGGUAAUACGAAGGGGGCGAGCGUUAUUCGGAAUCACUGGGCGUAAAGCGUGCGUAGGCGGUUUUGUAAGUUAGGAGUGAAAGCCCAGGGCUCAACCUUGGAAUUGCUCUUAAAACUGCAAGGCUCGAAUCUCGGAGAGGAUAGCGGAAUUUCCAGUGUAGAAGUGAAAUGCGUAGAUAUUGGAAGGAACACCAGUGGCGUAAGCGGCUAUCUGGACGAGUAUUGACGCUGAGGCACGAAAGCGUGGGGAUCAAACAGGAUUAGAUACCCGUGUAGUCC